GAGUUUGAUCCUGGCUCAGGAUGAACGCUGGCGGCGUGCUUAACACAUGCAAGUCGAACGAAGCACUUUACUUGAUUUCCUUCGGGAAUGAUUGUUCUGUGACUGAGUGGCGGACGGGUGAGUAACGCGUGGAUAACCUGCCUCACACAGGGGGAUAACAGUUGGAAACGGCUGCUAAUACCGCAUAAGCGCACAGUACCACAUGGUACAGUGUGAAAAACUCCGGUGGUAUGAGAUGGACCCCGCGUCUGAUUAGCUGGUUGGUGGGUAAUGG
rnacentral:rRNA from 1 species